UGGGACCAGUCUGCUCCAUCAGGAGACUCCUCCUGUCCCCAGUGUGCAGAAAGAUCCAGAACCAGACCUGGACUGCAGACAGACAGUCAGACCAGCACUGUACAAACAGACAGACACAACAAACAGAGAGCCAAGAUGACAGAGGCGGAC